UACGUAGGGUGCAAGCGUUAAUCGGAAUUACUGGGCGUAAAGCGUGCGCAGGCGGUUAUGUAAGACAGAUGUGAAAUGCCCGGGCUUAACCUGGGAACUGCAUUUGUGACUGCAUGGCUAGAGUUUGGCAGAGGGGGGGUAGAAUUCCACGUGUAGCAGUGAAAUGCGUAGAUAUGUGGAGGAACACCGAUGGCGAAGGCAGCCCCCCUGGGUCAAGACUGACGCUCAUGCACGAAAGGCGUGGGGAGCAAACAGGAUUAGAGUACCCC
rnacentral:rRNA from 1 species